GUAAGGGGAGUGUCUAGGGGUACGCGCAGGCUCACGAUUGGUGUGCCUCCAGGCUGGGAGGGCUUGCCCUCCAUAACAACCAGUUGACCAAUCAACACAGGGCAAGCCCUCCAAGCCUGGAGGCACACCAAUCGUAAGCCUGUGCGUACCCCUAGACACUCCCCUUACGCUGCCCUAUAAGAUCUUUUGGGAGACCCAAGGAGCCGUCUUUUUCUAGCCGUCUGCCAUGGCGGGUGGGUGAAAGACCCGAGCUAACAUGGGGUUAGCUCGUAAAACUACAAUAAAGCCUCAUGCAGUUUGCAUCAAGCUUUCGCCUCCAUUCUGUGUUUGGGGUGGCCGCCGUCCUGGGCUAAGAUUCUGGAAGCCUCAGCUUUCUGAGGGUCUAACAACAGGGCCCAUGUGGAGGCUGAAUGUGACUGCAGGCUGAUGUAACAACUUGCCUGAGAAGUGAUCAGAUUUGGAACUGAAUUGUGGCCAAGAGAAAAGGAAUCACUGAUGCCUGUGGCCACACUCCGCAAGCAUGGUUGCUGCUCCCGAGACCUUCUCACACACCUCGUGUCUGGGGAAGCACGUGACCCACGAAGGCACAGCUGCUUCUAUAUCCAUGGGAAAACCACACAAGGGAUGAGAUGAAGCGUCUGUUUAAUUGGCCUGUGAACUCUCACAACCUGUUUUUCGGCUCUUCUCUGUUUUAUAAGCAUCUGGAAAAGCCAUCUCCUGAUGUCACCCUCAGGCCUGGACAUGCCUAUUGCUCUGUCAUUUGUACAGGCCCCUGUGGAUGGCUCUCGGUUGGUUCAUCAAAAAAGGUGAAAACAGGACAUUGGUUUAUGCCAGCCAAUAGGUUUAGGCAUGUGGUAUCAAGAGAGACAAGGUCGCUAACAGCCAAGUGAACUCUGGUAUAAAGGAGAACUCAGUGUCCGUGUGUUCCCCAGCAAGUUCAGGGACAGGAUGCUGGGAGGAAGAAUGACAGGAGACAACUUGAAAGAGAAUGGGGGUUCUCAUGUAGGGAGGUAGCUCUGACGCAGGCUCGGGCUUUCCCUCAAAAUGUAAUUUUCUGAACAUGAGAGUUUGAUUGACAAUAUGAGACUUGAGACCCAAGCAUAGAAGGACUGGAGGAGGAAGUGGGCUCCAUGUUUAAUCUUCCUGUGAUGACUUAAAGCUGCCAGUGACAGUGACAGUGUUAGCCGCCAUCACAGUAAAUAAACUUACUACACAAAAGGGAACAGUAACUCAAUAUUCUGUGGGUUUCUCGUUAAAAAUAAAUAAAGUGGCCAAGCAUGGUGUCGGAACACAGUCCAGGAAUGGAGCCAUGUGAGGAGGAUUCUGAGCGCUUGUGAGAACAUUCCAAGAAAACAAGUCUUGUGACCUCAGUUUCUUCAAAGCAUGGACUUGUUCUUGGAAUGUGUUUUUGUGCUCCUCCCAGGUGUAGCGAUAGCAGUGAGUUUACUUCAGAUUACUCAUUAUUGCUUGGUGCUCUUAUUCAAUUAAAUGUUUAACUAUCCUUUAUAUGCCUGUAUGGAAAAACAUGUUUUUUGUUUGUUUGUUUGUUUUUGCCACAAGUGGCUUGUUCUUAUGAUUAUAUACCGCAUGAACUCAUGGGAACUUUACCCAUGCGAUUUCUUUUCUUAACCCUCAGAGUAUAAACUGUCUGAGGCUCUGAAUAAAGUUGGCUAUUGUAUGAGACUUUUA
ensembl:lncRNA